GGAGAGCGCGAACGCAGUCCCCCACUACCACAAAUUAUGCAGUCGAGUUUCCCGCAUUUGGGGAAAUCGCAGGGGUCAGCACACCCGCAGUGCAAUGGAUGAGCCUCACCCUGGGAAAACCACCUUCGUGAUCAUGGUGUCUCCCCUGCCAGGUAAGUAUGAGUUGCUAGUUCCCAGCCGCCGCCCGCCCUCUCUCACCCCACACUCUAAAGCCACGGUGGGUCCCGCUGCGCCGCACCCGCCAGCCGCGCCCACACCAGCCCCCACUGCCGAGAGCUGCCCCGACGUGGCCCCGGGGCCCCACCCUUCUCCACACCAACCCCCAGGUGCCAAAUUCGGGCCCUACUGGGCAGCGUGCUCCGGCUCCCACAAUGCUCUGCUCACACAUAUCUGCAUACGUGCUCACGCGGCUCCGCCCCUCCGAUCGGGCCCCUCCCCCGCCUGCUCUUCAGCGCUGAGCCCCACGGCCGGCCCCUCCCCCACCAGGUGGCCUCGCCGAAGGGCCGCCCGGGCCCUGCUCCCCCCGGCGGGCGGGGUGGGGGGCAGAGCUGCCCCCGAGCUCAGUAAUGCGCCAGCGUCCGGCUGCGCUGGAGCCGUAGCCGGCCCGGCCCGGGGUCCAGGCUCCCGGAGAGACCCAGGAACAGCCGGGAUCGCGGCCCCGCCUCUGCGGGGGGAGACGCUGCGUUUCGCUUCCCCCCCCAGGCAGUUACUGAUCCGUGAGGGGGCUGGAGCCAUCUGGAGUAGCUUGUGACUGUGAGUGCCAACCUCAGGCAAACUGUUAAGAAGCAGAGCACAAUCUCCAAAUUGGUUGUGUGUUCUAUGUUUAGAUUUCACCAAGUAUCAGAUUAUGUAUUAUGUGCCUUUUAAAACUUUUUAAACCAAACUUGCUAUUUUUGGGUAAUUUAAGCAUUAUAUGCAGAGGACUAGAAAUGUUUUUAUUAACCUGUAUUUAGAUAAUUUUAACAUUAGCUUGAAUAAAAAUUUUAAAUCUG